rnacentral:rRNA from 1 species
GACGAACGCUGGCGGCGUGCUUAACACAUGCAAGUCGAACGGUGAAGGUGGAGCUUGCUCCGCCGGAUCAGUGGCGAACGGGUGAGUAACACGUGGGCAACCUGCCCCUCACUUCGGGAUAACUCCGGGAAACCGGGGCUAAUACUGGAUACGACCUCCUUGGGCAUCCUUGGAGGUGGAAAGUUUUUCGGUGAGGGAUGGGCCCGCGGCCUAUCAGCUUGUUGGUGAGGUAGUGGCUCACCAAGGCGACGGCGGGUAGCCGGCCUGAGAGGGCGACCGGCCACACUGGGACUGGGACAAGGCCCAGACUCCUACGGGAGGCAGCAGUGGGGAAUAUUGCGCAAUGGGCGAAGGCCUGACGCAGCAACGCCGCGUGCGGGAUGAAGGCCUUCGGGUUGUAAACCGCUUUCAGCAGGGAAGAAGCCGCAAGGUGACGGUACCUGCAGAAGAAGCACCGGCUACUACGUGCCAGCCGCCGCCGUAA